rnacentral:lncRNA from 1 species
CAGCGUGGUUUUUUUUCAUUCCCCUCCCCCCCUGGUUGUUAAUUGUUUUUUUACCGGAUUAUCGCGUAUAGAUAGGAAAAUGAAGUUUUCCCGAAAUCAAAUUUCAUCUAACUGUUCCGUCGAGACGAUCAUUUUUCGAUAUUCUGUGUAGUUUUCCUCUAAUAAUAAUAAUAAUUAUUACUAUUAUAUUAUUAUAAUUAUUGACAAAUGACCCAGACGAAAACGUAAGAGAAUCGGCAAAACGCACGGCAACAACGAUACUGUUUUUUUUUUUUUUUUUAAUUGUAAUUCGAUGUUAAAAAUAAUCCCGGAGGCUUAAAACGUUCGCAGAUUGCUUAUGAUAAUAUAUUAUCAUUUCGCGAAACGCGGUAAAAUGUUCAAAAUACGCGGAUGGUUUUUGAGCUGUUGUAGGCGUUAUUUGAUACGUUUGGUGUUACAACGUAUAAAAUUGCCCCUCGGUCUUUUUUGGUAUUUACGAGCACAAUAUUAUUUUGGCGGAUCAGUAAUGCUUAAACAAUCCAACAAACGAGUUGUAUAAUAAUAAGUGUUGUAAUAAACGAUAAAAAAAACUAAUAAAAAUAGACGGACAUAUUUCGCACGAUUGGUGUGGGGCCUCCGUUGUAGAUGAAAAGUUGGAAACGAUUAAGCGUUGCUAACGAAAAACGAUUCUGAGCGGAGUUCGGUUACACGUGUUUUGAAAGGCCGUAGUAUUUACGAAUUGAAAAUAAUUUGACCGUUUUUCCUAAACGUUAUUUCCCCGGUUUUCCGUAUAUAUUACGAUACCCCCGGAGAAAUCUAAAAGUGACCUCCUUAAAGUGCCACCCCGGUCGAAUUUUCUUUCAGGAAAAGUGCAACGCUGGGGAAAAUCUGAUAAUCUGGUAGAAAAGUUUUUCGCAGAAAAAAAUGAAAUAAACAUCGUUGUAAAACCUGCUCCGCUUCGCUCAGAGUCUAAAAUUUGAGCAGUUCAUAAGCGUAUCGGGUCCGAAUUUAUGCGAAUCAAAUUACUUUGAGCUCUGUGAAAAAUAUAUUCGAAAAUUCAACGCGUGAUUUACCAUCGUAUUUUGAAAAAAAAUCGCGCGUAAUAUUUUUAACCAAUAUAAUACAACGACAGUCGUAAAAUCGUAAAUAGCUGAGCGGCCAUCGCCGCGGUACACAAACCCGUUCGACCGCGGCCACAAAUCGCCGGGUAUUUAGACAAUCAAACUAUUAUUUUCCGGGCAUAAAACCCGUAUACGGGUAAUAUUUGUUGUUUUUUUUUUUUUUUUUUUAUAGUAUUAACGCGCGGGGAUUAUUCUCGCAUCGUAAAAACUGCUAAAACGACCGCGGUGAUAAUUAUCGCUAUACUUUCCGGUAAAGCUCUGUCGUUUCGUUACACGCUAUACCGUUUCCGGGCAUAAAACCCGUAUACGGGUAAUAUUUGUUGUUUUUUUUUUUUUUUUUUUUUUUUUCCCAAGUUAAAUGUAUAUACAUUUUUAUACCGCUGUUGUUCCGCGCGUCAUGUGGAACAGAACCAUUUCGGUCGGCCGCCGCCGCCGCUGCGGGAGGGCUCGCCAUAAUAUAAUAUCAUAAUAGUAUAUGUAUACAGAGCUAUAAAUUAACGAGGAUUUCGAGCCGGUCUCUG